AGAAUUAUAUAAUUCAUGAUUCUUUCAAUGAUAUCAGCUGAUCGAGAAUAGAUUGUUCAUGAUCCACUAGUUUAUUUUAGCUAACUGAUCAAAAUUCUCAUCCUUACAGGUACUCGAUAAGAAUGGGGCUGCUCCAGCUAGAAGUGUUUUGGUGUGGAUUCUAAUAUAAAUUUGAAAGUAUGCUUAGUAGUAGCUGUGGUUGAUAAUCUGGCCAUUUUUUUUACUUCUAAUGAAGGUUAGAAUAUCGAUUAAUUGUCGUCGAAGCUGAGGUGUACGUUCGGUAGCGUGGAUGUCGAAGGGUACUCUUAGUUUUAAGUCUUCCGCUGUGUAGUGAGUUGUGGUGGAUGUGUUUACUUAUUGAAUUGUCAUUCAGUUUAAUUUGUAAACUAUCUGUAAUGUAAUAUGUGACUCUAAAGAACGAGUCGGUAUUGACAUUGUGAGCUCAGUUGUUUAGUUGCUUAAUUUAAAUGAAAAAUUUUCUAUGUG